GGGCCUAGCGCUGGUGCGCCGAGCUGGAUUGAUACCCCCGCCUCGGACGGUUCGAUUCCGUCUAGGUCCACCA
rnacentral:tRNA from 1 species